AAAUAAGAAGUAAUAAAUUACAUAUUAAUUUCGACUUAAUAAUAGAUUAAAUUAAUCGUUAUUUU
rnacentral:tRNA from 1 species